UACGGAGGGGGCAAGCGUUGUUCGGAAUUACUGGGCGUAAAGGGCGCGCAGGCGGCUGCUCAAGUCAGGCGUGAAAGGCCUGGGCUCAACCCGGGAAUUGCGCUUGAGACUGGGCUGGCUUGAGUGCGGGAGAGGAUGGUGGAAUUCCCAGUGUAGAGGUGAAAUUCGUAGAUAUUCGGAAGAACACCAGUGGCGAAGGCGACUCACUGGACAGGUAUUGACGCUGAGGUGCGAAAGCGUGGGGAGCAAACAGGG
rnacentral:rRNA from 1 species